UUCUGAAAUUACAUAAAACGACAUAGGC
rnacentral:sRNA from 1 species